AUGUUGUUAAAGGUUUACCGCCUUGGGAUAGGCUUGCGUCUGAUUAGCUAGUUGGGUGUGGUAAUGGCACACCAAGGCUACGAUCAGUAAACUGGUCUGAGAGGAUGAUCAGUCACACUGGAACUGAGACACGGUCCAGACUCCUACGGGAGGCAGCAGUGAGGAAUAUUGGGCAAUGCACGAAAGUGUGACCCAGCAACGCCGCGUGGAGGAUGAAGGUAUUCUAUAUCGUAAACUCCUGUGAGAGCAGACGAAAGACAGAUUAUUAAUUUGGAUGACUGUAUGCUCAGAGGAAGCCCCGGCUAACUACGUG
rnacentral:rRNA from 1 species